GGUUAAGCGACUAAGCGUACACGGUGGAUGCCCUGGCAGUCAGAGGCGAUGAAGGACGUGCUAAUCUGCGAAAAGCGUCGGUAAGGUGAUAUGAACCGUUAUAGCCGGCGAUGUCCGAAUGGGGAAACCCAGUGCAAUUCGUUGCACUAUCGUUUGAUGAAUACAUAGUCAAACGAGGCGAACCGGGGGAACUGAAACAUCUAAGUACCCCGAGGAAAAGAAAUCAACCGAGAUUCCCCCAGUAGCGGCGAGCGAACGGGGAGCAGCCCGGAGUCUGAAUCAGCUUGUGUGUUAGUGGAAGCGUCUGGAAAGUCGCAGGGUACAGGGUGAUACUCCCGUACACUAAAACACACAGGUUGUGAACUCGAAGAGUAGGGCGGGACACGUGGUAUCCUGUCUGAAUAUGGGGGGACCAUCCUCCAAGGCUAAAUACUCCUGACUGACCGAUAGUGAACCAGUACCGUGAGGGAAAGGCGAAAAGAACCCCGGCGAGGGGAGUGAAAAAGAACCUGAAACCGUGUACGUACAAGCAGUAGGAGCCUCUUUAUGGGGUGACUGCGUACCUUUUGUAUAAUGGGUCAGCGACUUAUAUUCUGUAGCAAGGUUAACCGUAUAGGGGAGCCGCAGGGAAACCGAGUCUUAACUGGGCGUUAAGUUGCAGGGUAUAGACCCGAAACCCGGUGAUCUAGCCAUGGGCAGGUUGAAGGUUGGGUAACACUAACUGGAGGACCGAACCGACUAAUGUUGAAAAAUUAGCGGAUGACUUGUGGCUGGGGGUGAAAGGCCAAUCAAACCGGGAGAUAGCUGGUUCUCCCCGAAAGCUAUUUAGGUAGCGCCUCGUGAACUCAUCUUCGGGGGUAGAGCACUGUUUCGGCUAGGGGUCAUCCCGACUUACCAACCCGAUGCAAACUACGAAUACCGAAGAAUGUUAUCACGGGAGACACACGGCGGGUGCUAACGUCCGUCGUGAAGAGGGAAACAACCCAGACCGCCAGCUAAGGUCCCAAAGUCAUGGUUAAGUGGGAAACGAUGUGGGAAGGCCCAGACAGCCAGGAUGUUGGCUUAGAAGCAGCCAUCAUUUAAAGAAAGCGUAAUAGCUCACUGGUCGAGUCGGCCUGCGCGGAAGAUGUAACGGGGCUAAACCAUGCACCGAAGCUGCGGCAGCGACACUAUGUGUUGUUGGGUAGGGGAGCGUUCUGUAAGCCGUUGAAGGUGGCCUGUGAGGGUUGCUGGAGGUAUCAGAAGUGCGAAUGCUGACAUAAGUAACGAUAAUGCGGGUGAAAAACCCGCACGCCGGAAGACCAAGGGUUCCUGUCCAACGUUAAUCGGGGCAGGGUGAGUCGACCCCUAAGGCGAGGCCGAAAGGCGUAGUCGAUGGGAAACAGGUUAAUAUUCCUGUACUCGGUGUUACUGCGAAGGGGGACGGAGAAGGCUAUGUUGGCCGGGCGACGGUUGUCCCGGUUUAAGCAUGUAGGCGGAUGUUCCAGGUAAAUCCGGAACGUUAUCAACGCUGAGGUGUGAUGACGAGGCACUACGGUGCUGAAGUGACAAAUGCCCUGCUUCCAGGAAAAGCCUCUAAGCAUCAGGUAACAUCAAAUCGUACCCCAAACCGACACAGGUGGUCAGGUAGAGAAUACCAAGGCGCUUGAGAGAACUCGGGUGAAGGAACUAGGCAAAAUGGUGCCGUAACUUCGGGAGAAGGCACGCUGAUAUGUAGGUGAAGUGGUUUACCCAUGGAGCUGAAAUCAGUCGAAGAUACCAGCUGGCUGCAACUGUUUAUUAAAAACACAGCACUGUGCAAACACGAAAGUGGACGUAUACGGUGUGACGCCUGCCCGGUGCCGGAAGGUUAAUUGAUGGGGUUAUCCGUAAGGAGAAGCUCUUGAUCGAAGCCCCGGUAAACGGCGGCCGUAACUAUAACGGUCCUAAGGUAGCGAAAUUCCUUGUCGGGUAAGUUCCGACCUGCACGAAUGGCGUAAUGAUGGCCAGGCUGUCUCCACCCGAGACUCAGUGAAAUUGAACUCGCUGUGAAGAUGCAGUGUACCCGCGGCAAGACGGAAAGACCCCGUGAACCUUUACUAUAGCUUGACACUGAACACUGGUCCUUGAUGUGUAGGAUAGGUGGGAGGCUUUGAAGCGUGGACGCCAGUCUGCGUGGAGCCAUCCUUGAAAUACCACCCUUUAAUGGCUGGUGUUCUAACGUGGGCCCGUUAUCCGGGUUGCGGACAGUGUCUGGUGGGUAGUUUGACUGGGGCGGUCUCCUCCUAAAGAGUAACGGAGGAGCACGAAGGUCAGCUAAUCCUGGUCGGACAUCAGGAGGUUAGUGCAAUGGCAUAAGCUGGCUUGACUGCGAGCGUGACGGCGCGAGCAGGUGCGAAAGCAGGUCAUAGUGAUCCGGUGGUUCUGAAUGGAAGGGCCAUCGCUCAACGGAUAAAAGGUACUCCGGGGAUAACAGGCUGAUACCGCCCAAGAGUUCAUAUCGACGGCGGUGUUUGGCACCUCGAUGUCGGCUCAUCACAUCCUGGGGCUGAAGUAGGUCCCAAGGGUAUGGCUGUUCGCCAUUUAAAGUGGUACGCGAGCUGGGUUUAGAACGUCGUGAGACAGUUCGGUCCCUAUCUGCCGUGGGCGCUGGAGAAUUGAGGGGGCUGCUCCUAGUACGAGAGGACCGGAGUGGACGCAUCACUGGUGUUCGGGUUGUCAUGCCAAUGGCAUUGCCCGGUAGCUAAAUGCGGAAGAGAUAAGUGCUGAAAGCAUCUAAGCACGAAACUUGCCCCGAGAUGAGUUCUCCCUGACUCCUUGAGAGUCCUGAAGGAACGUUGAAGACGACGACGUUGAUAGGCCGGGUGUGUAAGCGCAGCGAUGCGUUGAGCUAACCGGUACUAAUGAACCGUGAGGCUUAACCUU
rnacentral:rRNA from 1 species